CCUGGAUCACAUUUUUUAUUUUGAUGAAACUAUUUUCUGCUGGGCCCUCACAUCCCAAAGAAGCUACUGUAUGUCUCCGGAAGAAGAAAGAAAUGUCAGGAUUUGAGGCUGCAGGGGCCCAAUGCACAUGGGACUACAGAGAAAAUACCACCACUUUUGUCAACUUGUUUUCCUGGUGAUGUAGCCUCAAGAGUCACCUCCUGCUGAGCCAUUUUUGCACCUUGAACGUGUAUCUACACAUCGCACUUCGUAGGACCAUGGUCUGGCUCCCACACCUAACUGGUCUUCCAGAUCCUAGGGCAGAACCUGCUUCAAGGCCACACUCAGGACAUAUUUAAGUGAAUCAGCUUUUUGGCCAUACUCAGGACAUAUUUAAGUGAAUCACCUUUUUCCCUCAUGAGCACUGAACUUGGAAAUCAGAAAACCCAGGUUUGAAUUUGUUUUAUGAUCUCAGGCAAAUUACAAGUACUGUCACUGUUUAACAACAGUGGAAUGACCCCUGAGUGCCAGAAACCAGACUGGAGCUGGUACCUGCAACGUACAGGGCAGGCAACUGUUAUUCUCAGUUUAUAGAUGAGAGGAUAGGCUCCAAAGAGGUUAGUUAACUUGCUUGGGGUUACUCCCUAGUCAUUUGAACCCAGAUCUGUGUACAAAACUAGUUCAUAACCUUUCUUAAUUUUUGUCAUCUGUUAAAAUGAAGAUGACACUAUUUCUCAGGUGAUGUGUUAAUUUAUGUAAAAGCACUUAGCACCAUGCAUGACUUGCUAUAAACACUCAGUAAAUGGUUCCUGUCUUCUGACAUAGUUAGGUGCCUGAAAUCUCCAGAGUUCAACUGUAUGGUCUUUAGCUUUUGCAACUCCCAUCCUCACCUUUUCCAAGUUAUACAUGUGACAGCCAAGCAUUUCGUACCUAUUUGGAGAGGGUCAUGGGUGUUUGGACAUUGAUGGAUUCCACCAGCCCAUCUCAGAGUGGAUGGAUGGCAGGUCAGUCCCAUAAACGCAUGCAUCUGGACAGGCCUGGUUCCCACCUUGGACCAGGAAAUCCAGAGCCCCUGUUAGACCCAUGCCUAUGGGGCGCUAGAACCAGAAUGGAC
ensembl:lncRNA